GGUUUGAUACAUUAAAGACAGGCUCAAGCCCCUCUAGGGAAGCAUCCAGUAUCCCUGUUCUACUGAUUUCGCCGGAACGUCGACCUAUGCUCCACCUGAGGCGGCCACCACACAAAGGGAGAGGAAGCCAAAACGAAUCUAUCCCGCCUUACUAUCCAUGACCCGACGACAGACAGCUACUUCGAGCCUAAGUGAGCAGCCGCCAGCCCUGCAUUUCGAGUCUAGGAAGCACAGAAGAAGGUAGUAAGAUGCAGCGUCUUUCCACAAGGCAACGAUGCCAGAGAAUGUCUUCGUGUUUUUGCAUAUUGUGUCACUGCCCGUAGAUGGUGCAGUGCUUCAUGAUCACCAUGGAAACAAAUUCUCUGUUUAAUCAAGAUAAAUGUUCACCAUUGUGGAAACAUAUCCGAUAUAGUUUAAAAUUUAUGUUUUUAACUUUAUGAUGGAAACAAAUAUA